rnacentral:rRNA from 1 species
GAUGAACGCUGGCGGCGUGCCUAAUACAUGCAAGUCGAGCGAACGGACGAGAAGCUUGCUUCUCUGAUGUUAGCGGCGCACGGGUGAGUAACACGUGGAUAACCUACCUAUAAUACUGGGAUAACUUCGGGAAACCGGAGCUAAUACCGGAUAAUAUUUUGAACCGCAUGGUUCAAAAGUGAAAGACGGUCUUGCUGUCUCUUAUAGAUGGUUCUGCGCUGCAUUAGCUAGUUGGUAAGGUAACGGCUUCCCAAGGCAACGAUGCAUAGCCGACCUGAGAGGGUGAUCGGCCACACUGGAACUGAGACGCGGUCCAGACUCCUACGGGAGGCAGCAGAAGGGAAUCGUCCGCAAUGGGCGGAAGCAUGACGGAGCAACGCCGCGUGAGUGAUGAAAAUCUUCGGAUCGUAAAACUCUGUUAUUAGGGAAGAACAUAUGUGUAAGUAACUGUGCACAUCUUGACGGUACCUAAUCAGAAAGCCACGGCUAACUACGUG